GGCCCAAAAAUAUUAGCACAAUGUGAAAGCAAGUGGAUCUGGCGUUUGAACUCCUUACAACCACAAGGGUUAAAUGAGUGGUGUUACAUCAUCGCGUGACCAAUAGCCCCCCUUUUUUUGGAAUCCUGGGAUCCUAUAUGCGGACUAUUAACAAGAUUUAUGAAUGUUAUGGGGACUGACAUAUGGGGUAGACAUUGUACCUUAUCUUGAUUGGAUAUAAUGUAGAGCCGCACUGUCUUGUCCUUACUACACGCAAAAGGAAGCUGACAUAGUAGCAGAUAUCAAAGUGCUUUAUUAUUACUCCUUGUCUUGUUUCCUGCAAUAAAAUUUUGCAAUUGGCAUUUUCUUCCAGCG